AGCAUAUCAAUAAGCGGAGGAAAAGAAACCAACAGGGAUUGCCCUAGUAACGGCGAGUGAAGCGGCAACAGCUCAAAUUUGAAAUCUGGCUCUUUUAGGGUCCGAGUUGUAAUUUGCAGAGGGCGCUUUGGCGUUGGCAGCGGUCCAAGUUCCUUGGAACAGGACGUCACAGAGGGUGAGAAUCCCGUACGUGGUCGCUGGCCUUCGCCGUGUAAAGCCUCUUCGACGAGUCGAGUUGUUUGGGAAUGCAGCUCUAAAUGGGAGGUAAAUUUCUUCUAAAGCUAAAUACUGGCCAGAGACCGAUAGCGCACAAGUAGAGUGAUCGAAAGAUGAAAAGCACUUUGGAAAGAGAGUCAAAUAGCACGUGAAAUUGUUAAAAGGGAAGCGCUUGCAGCCAGACUUGCCCGUAGUUGCUCAUCCAGGCUUUUGCCUGGUGCAUUCUUCUAUGGGCAGGCCAGCAUCAGUUUGGGCGGUUGGAUAAAGGUCUCUGUCAUGUACCUCCUUUCGGGGAGGCCUUAUAGGGGAGACGACAUGCAACCAGCCUGGACUGAGGUCCGCGCAUUCGCUAGGAUGCUGGCGUAAUGGCUGUAAGCGGCCCGUCUUGAAACACGGACCAAGGAGUCUAACAUCUAUGCGAGUGUUUGGGUGUCAAGCCCGAACGCGCAAUGAAAGUGAACGGAGGUGGGAACCCUUAAGGGUGCACCAUCGACCGAUCCUGAUGUCUUCGGAAGGAUUUGAGUAAGAGCAUAGCUGUUGGGACCCGAAAGAUGGUGAACUAUGCUUGAAUAGGGUGAAGCCAGAGGAAACUCUGGUGGAGGCUCGCAGCGGUUCUGACGUGCAAAUCGAUCGUCAAAUUUGGGCAUAGGGGCGAAAGACUAAUCGAACUAUCUAGUAGCUGGUUCCUGCCGA
rnacentral:rRNA from 1 species